GAUGAACGCUGGCGGCGUGCCUAAUACAUGCAAGUCGAGCGAACAGAUAAGGAGCUUGCUCCUUUGACGUUAGCGGCGGACGGGUGAGUAACACGUGGAUAACCUACCUAUAAGACUGGGAUAACUUCGGGAAACCGGAGCUAAUACCGGAUAACAUAUUGAACCGCAUGGUUCAAUAGUGAAAGGCGGCUUUGCUGCCACUUAUAGAUGGAUCCGCGCCGUAUUAGCUAGUUGGUAAGGUAACGGCUUACCAAGGCAACGAUACGUAGCCGACCUGAGAGGGUGAUCGGCCACACUGGAACUGAGACACGGUCCAGACUCCUACGGGAGGCAGCAGUAGGGAAUCUUCCGCAAAGGGCGAAAGCCUGACGGAGCAACGCCGCGUGAGUGAUGAAGGUCUUCGGAUCGUAAAACUCUGUUAUCAGGGAAGAACAAAUGUGUAAGUAACUGUGCACAUCUUGACGGUACCUGAUCAGAAAGCCACGGCUAACUACGUG
rnacentral:rRNA from 1 species